UACAAAGGGUGCAAGCGUUAUUCGGAAUUAUUGGGCGUAAAGGGCGCGUAGGCGGCUUUGCAAGUGACGGGUGAAAUCCCACGGCUUAACCGUGGAACUGCCUGUCAGACUGCAUGGCUUGAGACCAGGAGAGGUGAGUGGAAUUCCUAGUGUAGAGGUGAAAUUCGUAGAUAUUAGGAAGAACACCAGUGGCGAAGGCGGCUCACUGGUCAGGUACUGACGCUGAGGUGCGAAAGCGUGGGGAGCAAACAGG
rnacentral:rRNA from 1 species